UCAGGAUGAACGCUAGCGGCAGGCUAACACAUGCAAGUCGAGGGGCAGCGGGAUGUAGCAAUACAUUGCCGGCGACCGGCGGAUGGGUGCGUAACGCGUAUGCAACCUACCUUAUACAGGGGAAUAACCUUUCGAAAGGGAGACUAACACCCCAUGGUAUUGAUUUAAGGCAUCUUAGAUUAAUUAAAUAUUUAUAGGUAUAAGAUGGGCAUGCGUAUGAUUAGCUAGUUGGUAAGGUAACGGCUUACCAAGGCGACGAUCACUAGGGGUUCUGAGAGGAAGGUCCCCCACACUGGUACUGAGACACGGACCAGACUCCUACGGGAGGCAGCAGUGAGGAAUAUUGGUCAAUGGGCGCAAGCCUGAACCAGCCAUGCCGCGUGCAAGGAAGACGGCCUUAUGGGUUGUAAACUGCUUUUACAUAAGACUAACCGUAUAUUUGCGAAUAUACCUGAAUGUAUUAUGAGAAUAAGGAUCGGCUAACUCCGUGCCAGCCGCGGC
rnacentral:rRNA from 1 species